UUAAGUUCAGCGGGUAGUCCUACCUGAUUUGAGGUCAGAUGUUCAGAUGAUGUUGUCCUUACGGACGGUUAGAAGCCUGAACAAGAUGAAGACUGAGAUGAAGCAACGCAGACAAUUAUCACGUUGAACCAUGCUCGGUCACAUUCAAGCUAAUGCAUUUCAGAGGAGCCCGUGUUCAAGAACACCGGCAAAAACCUCCA
rnacentral:misc_RNA from 1 species